UGGCAUCAGGGGAGAGGCAGGAGGUAAGUCAAGGUUUAUUUAUUUUUAUUGCAGCAGCCAGAGCAUAUUGAGAUUAACAGAAAUCUUACCGGAGUACCCCUUUGAGUGGUAUUGUAAGGGUAAUAAUAUUCUUGUGUCAUACUAAGACUCUGUUUUUAUCAUGUACGAGAUUACAUUUACUUUAAGCCUCUGUUGGGCCAGUGUACAUUAAUAUAUCUUUCAUAUUUUUAUGUUAGACUAUGCUAUUCCAUACAAAAGAAAAUAGUAAAAAAUAUACAUCCCAUAUUUUACAAUGGAAGCCUUGGGUGAUAUACUACACUCUAAGGGGUGCAUUUAUCGAUGCUUGAUGCUACAGAAUUAGCAUUAAAAAGUUUUUUUUAUAAAUUCAGCAGAAAAAAGGCUUGCACCAAAAUGUCCAACUUUUUUUCACUAGUUUUCUGGUUUCAAACUUUGAUAAAUCCCUCCCUAUAUCUAUACAAUGGGAUACAUCGCAGCCUUUCAUUUGCAUUAUGUGUUAUCCUCUUGAUCUACACCUCCCUAAACAAGGUGAAAACAGAGCCUAGAAUGUAAUACUGUACAGGAUUUGCUGUGUUAGAGUGCAUUUAACCCAUUUGUCCUUUCUACCCAUUGUUUUUUUUUUUUGCUUUGUUUUGUUUUUAACACAUUAUUGCUCUUAAACAAAGAUGGCACAUGAUAAUAGGUCAUAGUAACUUCAUGAUCAUUCAUGAAAAUACGGGGACAACAUGGGUUUUUCUAUCCUAAAUCACUUUUUUUUAAAUAUAAUUUCAAUGAGGGUUCUAUGGGUUCCUUCUACAGCCACGGUUACAAUCUAACAGAUCUGGAUAUGUCAUCAAAACCAGCAUGUAAAGACCUCUUGGCAUAAGGCAUCUCCUAGGAUGGUGGUAUUGAACAGUAUUCAGUAGUGAAGAGGUUAAAGAGCACUCUUUGUUUUUGUUAAAUUGUGUUUAAGGACCAACAUUCUACAUGCUGGUCUUUAUCUAACUUAAGUUGGAUUAAGAUGUGACCAAUUUAUUAAGAGGUGUCUACCUAUAACUACAUUUCUCACACCUGUAGCUGUCUACAAAUUCCCAACUAGGUCAGUUAUGAGCUGGUGUGAAUUUUAGACAAAAUCAGGGCCAGAAUAAGAAAUUACAGGCCCCAGGGCUAUAGGCACUGUGAAGCCCCAAAUCCCUUUGUCCUCUUCCAGACUCCACUUUCCUCUCCCCCAGGCUACUCUGUAUCACCAGACUCCUUAGCCCUCCACCUCCAGAUCUCUCUGUCCCCCUGACUCCUCGAUCCCCUUUCCCCAAGCUUCUCUACACCCACUCACUUCUUUCCAUGCUCCUUUGCCCCCCCCCAGACUUCCUUAUGCCCCUUCUCCAUGCUCCUCUGUCCCCCUCCUCCAGCCUCCACUAUCCCCAUCAGACUCCUCUGCCCCCCCUGCAGGCUCCUCUGUACCUCUCCUCUGUUCUUUCCCUCCUUACUUUGCUAUGGCAGUGCUAAAGCAAUGUCUGUGGGGACAGGGCACACAGUACUGUAUACACACUAGAUACCGGCUGUGGUCGGGGACAGUGGAGGGUGACUGACUCUGGCUGCCUACCUGGUAAGGUCCACCUGCACGGAGUACAGAAGAAGAGGGGGAAAAAAUUGCUUGGCUCAGGAAAGGGUCCCCCUCAGCAUCAGAAGCCCAUAGGAUGCCCCUCCAACACUUUUGGUUAAUCUAGCCCUUGCUGCAAUUUAUGCCAUUUUUUGGCAUGAGUUGUGGUAAAUGUGUCAAGUUUCAGGAGGCCAUGAAGUUUUUAUAAAAGUGGCUUGAGGGGCACAAAAAUGAAAGAAGUUGCUAUAUUUUUGCACAAAAUUUUUGCUAAAAUUUGCUGCUUAUUUUUAUUUUUUUUUACCAUAAACUGCCACACAUAGUAUAGUAUACUACCCCCUAAGUGCACAUUGAAUGGACAAAUUCUGAUGCUAAAAGCUGAGUGUGUGAAAAGUAGCAUUUCGUGUGUAAAAUUAUCAGGAAGAGGUGUGACUGGAAAGAAUAGAGAAUAUAGCAUGCAUUAUUUAUUUUUUUUAUCAGUGUUUGCUGUCUUGCUAAAGGUCUAAAACUCAUCCAUAUAUUGCUAUAGUGAAUUAGUACUCUAAAGAUUAUAUGAAGCAAAAGAAAGGAAAUAAAAAGUUAGAAAGCAAACUAAAAACACUUAUGGCACAUACAGAAUAAAAAGUAUAAAAAUGUAUUAAACAAUGCUCAUUUUUUACAGUUAUAUCUUCUGAUAUCUCCAUACACAUGCACGGUCAGGUGGCAUUGGCUUAUCUUAUGUACAGAUUGUUGGCCUAUCCUUCAGAUAUCAGCUGGCAUGUACCUAAGAGCUGUCAUCUUAUUUGCUCUCUUUGUAGAAACAAUAGGGCCAGAGAUAGCUGUCAUUCUGAUAGCCCAAUAGCAGGCAUUGUUCAGCCAGACUUGCUUAAAGGGGUACUCCACCGGCCACAUCCCCUCCCAUAGACUUGCAUUGAGGAGGUGUGGCGUGACAUCACGAGGAGGCGUGGCCGACCCCGAUAUUUGUUUAAAAGGUAAUAUUGUGAUAUGUAAGGACCAGUCCCCUCAAUCCAUUUUUUUCAAAUACAUUACGUAUACAGUAUAUUCAAUUUAUUUGUAUGCUUAUAUUUAAAAAGAUAAUAUUGGUUUAUAUGGAUAAAUAUUCUUUGGUUGUGCUGCUGCUUUUCCUCUCCUUAGCUGGUUUCCUACUUCAUAUGUUGUAUGCGUGCAAAAUAGUGUGAGUACCGGUAUGUAAGAGAAAAAUGUAUGUGUGUACAAAAGUGUUAAUACCGAGUACCUAAUAGAUUUUUGAUGCCUAUAUUGUUAGAAAAUUGUGACAUUUUUUGUGUUUUUGCAAUUUGAUAAAAAGUUGCUGAAUGCGUGCCUAGAGCUAAAUAUAUGCUGCAUAUGUGUAAACUAUGUUGUGUGCUGAUAAUGCUGAUGCUGUAGGUCUACAGUGUCAGCUUUACUGUACAACACACCUGACCGUCUGCUGUCAUGAGGGUCUCUAUAUUGGGUUGGGUCUAAAAGCCCCAACAAUCCUUCUCUUUGCACUGUUUGGAACACAUAUCAUGCUGGCAUCAUGCUUCUGAAAAUAGAAAGUGCUAACCUCACAUGGUGUUCUGAAAUGCUACACCAUAAAACAAUUUUAUCAAACUCACUAUCUAUUGUUGAAACUACAGAAACAGGUUUGUGUAGAAUUUCUAAGUUCAUGCAUGAUGUACCCUUAUUGUGACAUUUUAGAUGAUUCAGCUGUGAUGGGCCUUAACCCCCCAAGAGACGUCAGGUGAUCCACACAAGUAAAACAGGAUACUAAAGGAUAAUGAAAUAAAAAAUGCCUUAAUUGCCAGCACACAUAAUAUAAAGAUAUAUAAAAUACAUUUUACAAAGUUUAGCUACAGAGAACCACAAAGCAUGAUCUUAGACUCUUUGAGUCCUAAUGUAAUUUUUAUUUUUCCUCCAUGGGUAACAGGUGAGUGUGAUUGCAAGCUUUUUGGAGAGAACAUGUCAUUACAAGUUGUUAAAGGAGUUCUCAGGUAUAGAAAAACAUAUCCUCUAUCCUAAGGAUAGGGGAUAAGUGUCAGAUCACAGGGGCUCUGACCGCUAGGACCCCCAGGAUCUGCCAUAUGGCACCCUGGUUCUGCUUCUUAAUGCAGCAUGUUGAUCACUAUGCAGGUCUAUGGGUGAGCUGGAAAUUCCUGAAUGCAGCGCUCCACCUCUCCCAUAGACAUGCAUUGAGGGGACGUGUUGGCCAUCGCUUCAUUCUGUGGUCGACGCCUCCCAUUAAGUAAGAGAGCCUGGGCGCAGUGCAGUAGAUUGCAGGGGGCCCUGGAGUUCGGACCCACCCGCGAUCUGACGUGUAUCCUUUAUCCUUAGAAUAGGAUAAAUUCUAUCCCGGAGAUCUCCUUAAAUAGUUCACUUAGAGUCAAUGGGACAACACUAUGUGAGGGGAGAUUUUCAUUUUAUAUCAUAGUCUUAAAUUGAUGUGUGUAGGAUUAAAAUAAAUUAAUUUGGAACAUCUUAGACUCUCUCUAAGUUACAAAAUGAAAUCUACUCCUGGAAACAGGCUUACAUUUCUGCCUGUUUGCCCAACCAUUAAAGGGAUACAUGUAUAAUCACGCGUGGGGGUUCCAAAUUCUGAGACCCUUCAUGAUCUGGAGAAUGGGGACCCAAGUACAGAACUUAUCUCCAGCAGCUCCCAUAGACAAUGAACUGUAGUGGUGCUGCACACGUGUGACCAACCCUCUGUUCUGACAGGAGACUUGUGUCCUCAUUUUUGAGUCCUUUUAGUCAGACCCUGUGAUCCUACACUAAUCCCCUAUCCUGUAAAUGGAGGAGACAACUUAAAUGUUGGACAACCCCUUUAGUAACGUAGUUAAACCAUUUAUGGCUAGCCAUAAUUUGCUACCUUCUUAUGCCAAAUAACUGGCAGAAUUGGAAUGAUCAGUCCCCCCCCAUGAAGUUUUGAGAACAUGCUCAGUAGCUGGCCAUCUGGGGUUAAAUUACAAUUACAUAGGGCCUUGCAGUGAUUUGUGGUUCAGCACCUAGAGAAGUGAUCUUGUAGAAAGUCCUAAAAAAAAGUAGCUGGUACAAGCCUAUUAAUGGGAGGGAUGUGGCAAUGUGCUAUUGUAUUGGUAAAUCUGUUGUCUAUUCCCUCCAUACCUACCUCACACUGUGACAUUCUGCUGCUUUCCCAUUAUGUACAAACUGUGUGCAGAUAUGAUAAGACACAAAGAACUUACUCAGGAGGCAGGUUUUCUGAAGGGACUUACCAGGGAAUAUGAUCAGUUUGAGCAUUCAGCCAAAUUGAAGCUUCUGAAGGUUGCACAUCUGUCUCCUUAAAUGUCUUACCCUUGAUAAACACCACUCAUCCUAUACUGCAAUGCAUUGUAAUAAGUGUAGUCCUUGUGUUCCUUAUUUGAGCACUAAUAGUAUGAGCUCUUCUGUAAAACAUGAGAGAUCUCAGUAGAGCACGUGUUCUGUUCCUUAGUGGUCUCAUUGUAACAUUGAGAGACCAUUGUUGUAAAUACUACUUAGCUAUGCUGGGUCUCAUGUUAUUCUACUCAAUGUCAUGCAGUAGGAUAGUUCACAAAGAUACUGAUAUGCAUAUAAAAUCACUUGUUACUAUUCCUUGACUCAGCGGGUGGACAGAACUGCACAUCACCUCAUUAUACAAUGUUAGUGUUACUGGAUGCUUGUGGCUUCUCCAUUACUGUGUAUUUGCGAACAAAAUAUUUUAUUUUUUCAUGUCUAUUAAACCCAGCAGAAUCUUG